GAUGAACGCUAGCGGCAGGCCUAACACAUGCAAGUCGAGGGAGAAGCCCUUUCGGGGGCCGAAACCGGCGCACGGGUGCGUAACGCGUAUGCAACCUACCUUUCACAGGGGGAUAGCCCGAAGAAAUUUGGAUUAAUACCCCAUAAUAUUAUUGGAUGGCAUCAUUUGAUAAUUAAAACUGCGGUGGUGAAAGAUGGGCAUGCGUCCUAUUAGCUAGUUGGAGUGGUAACGGCACCCCAAGGCUACGAUAGGUAGGGGUCCUGAGAGGGAGAUCCCCCACACUGGUACUGAGACAGGGACCAGACUCCUACGGGAGGCAGCAGUGAGGAAUAUUGGUCAAUGGUCGGAAGACUGAACCAGCCAUGCCGCGUGCAGGAAGAAUGCCUUAUGGGCUGUAAACUGCUUUUAUAUGGGAAGAAUAAGGCGUACGUGUACGUUGAUGACGGUACCAUAUGAAUAAGCAUCGGCUAACUCCGUG
rnacentral:rRNA from 1 species